CGGCGUCGAGCGGCGGACGGGUGAGUAAUGCCUGGGAAAUUGCCCUGAUGUGGGGGAUAACCAUUGGAAACGAUGGCUAAUACCGCAUAAUAGCUUCGGCUCAAAGAGGGGGACCUUCGGGCCUCUCGCGUCAGGAUAUGCCCAGGUGGGAUUAGCUAGUUGGUGAGGUAAGGGCUCACCAAGGCGACGAUCCCUAGCUGGUCUGAGAGGAUGAUCAGCCACACUGGAACUGAGACACGGUCCAGACUCCUACGGGAGGCAGCAGUGGGGAAUAUUGCACAAUGGGCGCAAGCCUGAUGCAGCCAUGCCGCGUGUAUGAAGAAGGCCUUCGGGUUGUAAAGUACUUUCAGCAGUGAGGAAGGUGGAUGCGUUAAUAGCGUAUUCAUUUGACGUUAGCUGCAGAAGAAGCACCGGCUAACUCCGUGCCAGCAGCCGCGGUAAUACGGAGGGUGCGAGCGUUAAUCGGAAUUACUGGGCGUAAAGCGCAUGCAGGUGGUUUGUUAAGUCAGAUGUGAAAGCCCGGGGCUCAACCUCGGAAUUGCAUUUGAAACUGGCAGACUAGAGUACUGUAGAGGGGGGUAGAAUUUCAGGUGUAGCGGUGAAAUGCGUAGAGAUCUGAAGGAAUACCGGUGGCGAAGGCGGCCCCCUGGACAGAUACUGACACUCAGAUGCGAAAGCGUGGGGAGCAAACAGGAUUAGAUACCCUGGUAGUCCACGCCGUAAACGAUGUCUACUUGGAGGUUGUGGCCUUGAGCCGUGGCUUUCGGAGCUAACGCGUUAAGUAGACCGCCUGGGGAGUACGGUCGCAAGAUUAAAACUCAAAUGAAUUGACGGGGGCCCGCACAAGCGGUGGAGCAUGUGGUUUAAUUCGAUGCAACGCGAAGAACCUUACCUACUCUUGACAUCCAGAGAAGCCAGUAGAGAUGCAGGUGUGCCUUCGGGAGCUCUGAGACAGGUGCUGCAUGGCUGUCGUCACCUCGUGUUGUGAAAUGUUGGGUUAAGUCCC
rnacentral:rRNA from 1 species